UAAUUUACUUAGUGACGACAUUACGAUCGAGAUAGACUUCAAUUUAAAAAAACAAAAUGAAAGGAUUGGUGUAUAUUUUUGUCAUUAUAAUGACUUUUUUGACAAUAACUUCAACGGUCAUGUCACAAGAAAUUGAACCCGAGCCUCUUCUGCAGAGAUGGAAACGUGAAACCUGCGAAUACCGGGAAUGCGAUCAGUUCUGUCGCCGCCUCGGCUUACCUGGGGGAGCUUGUGUUAGGGAAAAAUGCGACUGCGAUCGUUUUUAGUCCAUUUACCUCAUUUUUAUAAGCAAUAAAAACUUUUUU